AACACCUCCGCCCGUCCCCUGCUGGACUCCUGUCCCAGGAUCUCCUUGUACUCCACCAGUGAGAAGACCUUGUCGUACACCAGCUCCUUCUAGGAGAAUAUUUCAGAAGUUAUUUCAGUCCUGCUGACUGGCCCGAAAAGCUCCAGGGACUUUGAAAACAAGUUUCUUCUCCUCUUCCCUCUGAGAUCCCUUUAGCGCCCCCUGGCGGCCCUGCCCACUUUGAAAAACGCAGCCACAGAGCGCUGA